UUGUUUUCAUUUUUCUCUGAGCCUUCUCAGCUUCCCAGGAGAAAAAUCCUGGGAGAAGGGAUUACUUCAGAGAAUGUGAAUGCCACAGGGAUUGACAGAGAGGAUGCUUCAAAUCCCCUAAGUUUUGAGGCAUCGGGCAGUGACAGCCCAAGGCUGCUUUGGACACUCCAGGGUGGCUGAAAAUUCCAGAAGGGAAACAGCGCUGGGGCUUGAGCACUGGGCUGAGCAGGUGGCAGAUUUUGCUGUGGACGCUGUUCCAGUCAGUUUUCUGGUGGGAGACAUCACUGGCAAAAGGAGGGGAGAAAGACACUGGUAUUUGC